GAUGAACGCGGGCGGCGUGCCUAAUACAUGCAAGUCGAGCGAACAGACGAGGAGCUUGCUCCUUUGACGUUAGCGGCGGACGGGUGAGUAACACGUAGGUAACCUACCUAUAAGACUGGGAUAACUUCGGGAAACCGGAGCUAAUACCGGAUAAUAUUUCGAACCGCAUGGUUCGAUAGUGAAAGAUGGCUUUGCUAUCACUUAUAGAUGGACCUGCGCCGUAUUAGCUAGUUGGUAAGGUAACGGCUUACCAAGGCAACGAUACGUAGCCGACCUGAGAGGGUGAUCGGCCACACUGGAACUGAGACACGGUCCAGACUCCUACGGGAGGCAGCAGUAGGGAAUCUUCCGCAAUGGGCGAAAGCCUGACGGAGCAACGCCGCGUGAGUGAUGAAGGUCUUCGGAUCGUAAAACUCUGUUAUUAGGGAAGAACAAACGUGUAAGUAACUGUGCACGUCUUGACGGUACCUAAUCAGAAAGCCACGGCUAACUACGUGCCAGCAGCCGCGGUAAUACGUAGGUGGCAAGCGUUAUCCGGAAUUAUUGGGCGUAAAGCGCGCGUAGGCGGUUUUUUAAGUCUGAUGUGAAAGCCCACGGCUCAACCGUGGAGGGUCAUUGGAAACUGGAAAACUUGAGUGCAGAAGAGGAAAGUGGAAUUCCAUGUGUAGCGGUGAAAUGCGCAGAGAUAUGGAGGAACACCAGUGGCGAAGGCGACUUUCUGGUCUGUAACUGACGCUGAUGUGCGAAAGCGUGGGGAUCAAACAGGAUUAGAUACCCUGGUAGUCCACGCCGUAAACGAUGAGUGCUAAGUGUUAAGGGGGUUUCCGCCCCUUAGUGCUGCAGCUAACGCAUUAAGCACUCCGCCCGGGGGAGUACGACCGCAAGGUUGAAACUCAAAGGAAUUGACGGGGACCCGCACAAGCGGUGGAACCAUGUGGUUUAAUUCGAAGCAACGCGAAGAACCUUACCAAAUCUUGACAU
rnacentral:rRNA from 1 species